UAACCUGCCCAAGAGAUCGGGAUAACACCUGGAAACAGAUGCUAAUACCGGAUAACAACAGAUGAUGCCUAUCAACUGUUUAAAAGAUGGUUCUGCUAUCACUCUUGGAUGGACCUGCGGUGCAUUAGCUAGUUGGUAGGGUAACGGCCUGCCAAGGCGAUGAUGCAUAGCCGAGUUGAGAGACUGAUCGGCCACAUUGGGACUGAGACACGGCCCAAACUCCUACGGGAGGCAGCAGGG
rnacentral:rRNA from 1 species